rnacentral:lncRNA from 1 species
CUCUGUGUCUUCCUUUUGCUUUUGAGAUACAGCUCAGGAAUUUAGCCAAAAAUUUACUAAAUUUCUUGAACUCCCAGGAAUGAAUAAAUAGUGCACUGAAGAUCUUCACAAAUCACAUCAUUUGAGAGAACAGGCCUCUGUGUAGCAAUGAGGAGAGAGGGCACUUGCUACUCAAGACAAAUGGCACUUCAAGAUUCAAGGGUCUUGGGGCCAGCGCUGUGGCACAGAAGGUUAACGCUCUGGCCUGAAGCACCGGCAUCGUAUAUGGGCACCUGUUUUAAUCCUGGCUGCUCCUCUUGCAAUCCAGCUCUCUGAUAUGGCCUGGGAAAGCAGUAGAAGAUAGCCCCAAGUCCUUGGGCCACUGCACCCAAGUGGGAGACCCGGAAGAAGCUCCUGGCUCUGGCUUCGGAUUGGCGCAGCUCCAGGUCGUUGCAGACGUCUUGGGAGUGGACCACCGGACGGAAGACCUCUCUCUCUCUGCCUCUCCUCUCUCUUUGUAACUCUGACUUUCAAAUAAAUAAAUAAAUCUUUAAAAAAACCUAUAAAAA